rnacentral:rRNA from 1 species
CUUACCUACUCUUGACAUCCAGAGAACUUAGCAGAGAUGCUUUGGUGCCUUCGGGAACUCUGAGACAGGUGCCGCAUGGCUGUCGUCAGCUCGUGUUGUGAAAUGUUGGGUUAAGUCCCGCAACGAGCGCAACCCUUAUCCUUUGUUGCCAGCGAUUCGGUCGGGAACUCAAAGGAGACUGCCGGUGAUAAACCGGAGGAAGGUGGGGAUGACGUCAAGUCAUCAUGGCCCUUACGAGUAGGGCUACACACGUGCUACAAUGGCGUAUACAAAGAGAAGCGACCUCGCGAGAGCAAGCGGAACUCAUAAAGUACGUCGUAGUCCGGAUUGGAGUCUGCAACUCGACUCCAUGAAGUCGGAAUCGCUAGUAAUCGUAGAUCAGAAUGCUACGGUGAAUACGUUCCCGGGCCUUGUACACACCGCCCGUCACACCAUGGGAGUGGGUUGCAAAAGAAGUAGGUAGCUUAACCUUCGGGAGGGCGCUUACCACUUUGUGAUUCAUGACUGGGGUG